GACGAACCGUGCGAACGUUAUUCGGAAUCACUGGGCUUAAAGCGCGUGUAGGCGGGACGGCACGUCGGUCGUUGAAAUCCCCCGGCUCAACCGGGGAACGGGCGCCGAUACGACCGUCCUGGAGGGACGUAGGGGGACCUGGAACUUCCGGUGGAGCGGUGAAAUGCGUUGAGAUCGGAGGGAACGCCCGUGGCGAAAGCGAGGUCCUGGACGUUUUCUGACGCUGAGACGCGAAAGCCAGGGGAGCGAACGGG
rnacentral:rRNA from 1 species